rnacentral:ribozyme from 16 species
GAAUGGAUUAAAAAGGUGCAUGGGACGAGGUAUCAUAUAUUAUUUUUUCUUUUCUUGACAUUAUUCUUUCUCAAAAACUUUGUUACUCGUAUC